GACGAACGCUGGCGGCGUGCCUAACACAUGCAAGUCGAGCGGAGUCGAUCGACAGAAGCCUUCGGGCGGAAGAUGGUUGACUUAGCGGCGGAUGGGUGAGUAACGCGUGGGCAACCUGCCUCGAAGACCGGGAUAACAGCCCGAAAGGGCUGCUAAUACCGGAUGUGGUCAAGGAUCCGCAUGGAUUUUUGAUUAAAGGGGAAACCCGUUUCGAGAUGGGCCCGCGUCCUAUCAGCUAGUUGGUGAGGUAAAAGCUCACCAAGGCGACGACGGGUAGCCGGCCUGAGAGGGUGACCGGCCACACUGGAACUGAGACACGGUCCAGACUCCUACGGGGGGCAGCAGUGGGGAAUCUUCCACAAUGGGCGAAAGCCUGAUGGAGCGACGCCGCGUGAGCGAAGAAGGCCUUCGGGUUGUAAAGCUCUGUCUGGAGGGACGAAGGAAGUGACGGUACCUCCGGAGGAAGCCACGGCUAACUACGUG
rnacentral:rRNA from 1 species